CAUGAAAAAUUUACCGUGACUGACGCUAUUAUGCGACCAAAGAUUUAACUGUGUCUCUAAAGGAAUGGAUUCUGGGACUGCGGGCACCUCCGAAAAUGGACAGGACCCCAAGAACAAACUGCUUGUUGCUGGCAAGUACAGACUAGUAAAGAAGAUUGGAAGUGGUUCCUUUGGAGAGAUUUAUACCGCUCAAAACGUCCAUUCUGGUGAUGAGGUGGCGAUAAAGAUAGAGAGCACUACGGCGAGACAUCUACAGCUACAAUACGAGUCAAAGAUUUACAAGAUUUUACAAAAUGGUCCAGGUAUACCCCACGCCCACUACUACGGACAAGAAGGACAGUACAACGUCCUAGUUAUCGACCUGUUAGGGCCCAGCCUUGAGGACCUCUUUAACUUUUGUUCCAGAAGAUUCUCCAUCAAAACUGUCCUGAUGUUAGCUGACCAGAUGUUGACAAGGAUUGAGUUCGUACACAGCAGGAACUUUAUUCACAGAGACAUCAAACCUGACAACUUCCUCAUGGGAGUCAGCAACCUUAAUCAUAAGUGUUAUAUUAUAGACUUUGGGCUGGCAAAAAAAUAUCGGAAUGCCGUGCGACAACACAUACAGUUUAGGGAAGGGAAGAAUUUAACGGGGACAGCACGGUAUGCCAGUAUCAAUGCCCACCAAGGUAUCGAACAGAGCCGGCGAGAUGACCUGGAGAGUCUCGGAUACGUACUGAUGUAUUUCAACAUAUCCCAGUUGCCGUGGCAGGGGCUGCGCGCGGCAAACAAAAAACAGAAAUAUGAGCGAAUAUGCGAAAAGAAAGUGAGCACGAGUCCGGAAUCGCUGUGUAACGGUUAUCCGGAAGAAUUCCGGAUUUAUAUCAGUUAUUGUAGGAGUCUAAAGUUUGAGGAUGCUCCGGAUUAUAGUUAUCUGAGGCAGCUGUUUAAAAAGGUUUUUACUAGGUUCGAGUACACGUAUGACAAUGUGUUUGACUGGACAAUGUUACAAAGGCAGAAGGAACAGUCAGUUAAGAGUUCAGCAGGGAACACGUCUGGUCAUAGAGCGACGCAGCAUAUAUCGUCGGGGUUUGACAGACAAGCAGACCUUAAAUCAUUUACUGCAGCAGCAGGAGUUGGAGAUGUAGGGACGCGUUGUGAAAGCCGCCGUUCAGGCAGGCCUACAGUCGACGCCGACCAAUAAGAAGACAAAAAAGAAAUACUUACAAUAGGCUAUAAAAGUGGGGAGUUGAAGCAAUUUUGUUAACACGUGAUAGUGAUAAAUCGGCCGAUGCUGCAAGCGAGACGAAUUGAGAUGGUAUCCUGGUAUCAAAGUUUAGUUGCCACGACCAACCCGGGGAAACGUAGAUUAAGAAGAAAAUGUCUUUUCUCACCUCACAUCUCACGGCUCACAUUUCAUCUUAAACGCGAACUGUCCCACCAAAAUUAAUUCUACCUCAAAUACCAUGGAUUUAUGUGAUUGUUUUUAGCUGUAUUGUGGAUAUCAUUAUCAUGUUUGACAACGUGCCCAAAUUUAAUCUGAAAUUAUAAUUUUAUUGGAUUUAACUUACUUUUCCAGGUGUACUACUGGUCCCGUCCAAAUGGGGUAUUCGAAAUGUGGUCGAAACUCAUUUCUACCACAUUUUUUACUGAUAAGCACAUAUCUAGGUAACAUAAACUGGUUUGCUCUUAAUUUAUUUUUAGCUGCACAUAUUCAGUCGAGAAAAUUAGAACUCAGGUUUUAGAACAUUUUGACGACCCCAUUUAGACGAGCCCGGUGGCAUACCUGCUAUUUGUAUACAAGAUUUUAUCUUCAACUUAUUGCAUUAAUUGUAUUUUACAUGAUAUCAUUUUAUUUGUCACUUCACCACUUACUUCAA